CACAAUAGAGGAAUGAGGGCAAAAUAUAUGUGAAAGCUACAAUUCCCUCUUCUCAGAGUAAGGUGAUGCACUGAUUCCUACAGAGGUCCAGUCCUGUCCUCUACAUACCCAGAGGAAUUGAAUACUGGCAGCAUAAGCAGCAUCUGCUGUCACAUCAGAUACGGCUUUCUGCACAUGGAGAAACUAACUAGAGUGGACAACACAGCUGCAUUUUAUUCCCAAUUUGGCUAUUGAGAUCCUGGCUGCAGGAUCUUGGGUGUCUCACUUCACAUAAUCAUUGGCAUGACAUGUGGCAUGCUACUUGGAGACUCUGAAGACCUAGAAUCUUCAGCUCAGACUCCAGAUGAGCUCAGCUUUCCAAAAUCAGUUCUACCAACUCCUACCCUCCGGUACCAGGAUGAUCAGCAUAGCUGAAGGAUGUCACAAAAUUAUGAGCAUUCCUGCACUGUCAUACUCCCUCCUGCUCCAUCCCACCUCUGGAUAAGAAUCAUUCCUCUGUCCUAUGUAUCUACCCUGUGGACACUGCUGGCCAGACACUCACUCAGGAGUCACCUCGUUAUCAGAUUGACAAACCACAAGAAAAAGAAGGGCAUAGCAUCCUUCUUCAUCACUGGAAUUUUGAUGAGAGGCUAGACAUGGAGCAUGCAUUUUGGAGCCAUGUGGCAACCAUGAAAAUAAAAGCCAUGUGUGAAGGAUGAUGAAACA
rnacentral:lncRNA from 13 species